rnacentral:rRNA from 1 species
GACGGGACCCGCACAAGCGGUGGAUGAUGUGGAUUAAUUCGAUGCAACGCGAAAACCUUACCUACCCUUGACAUGUCCGGAAUCCCGAAGAGAUUUGGGAGUGCUCGCAAGAGAACCGGAACACAGGUGCUGCAUGGCUGUCGUCAGCUCGUGUCGUGAGAUGUUGGGUUAAGUCCCGCAACGAGCGCAACCCUUGUCAUUAGUUGCCAUCAUUUGGUUGGGCACUCUAAUGAGACUGCCGGUGACAAACCGGAGGAAGGUGGGGAUGACGUCAAGUCCUCAUGGCCCUUAUGGGCAGGGCUUCACACGUCAUACAAUGGUCGGUACAGAGGGUUGCCAACCCGCGAGGGGGAGCUAAUCCCACAAAGCCGAUCGUAGUCCGGAUCGCAGUCUGCAACUCGACUGCGUGAAGUCGGAAUCGCUAGUAAUCGUGGAUCAGCAUGUCACGGUGAAUACGUUCCCGGGUCUU